CGGAUGAGGGAAGAGCAGAAAAAGAAAAGAAACUGAAAAAAAGAGAAAAGAAACAGAGGAAGCCGAGAGAGGUUUCAGCAAAAAAUAAAACCAAAGAAAGACUGGGAAUUUGAGGGAGACGACGGGGAGAAGGAAACAAACGGAAAACAGAGGAGGAGGGAAGGAUCUAAUUUUUUUUAGGAGAGCAAUAGAGGGAGCUUCGGUGAGAGAAAAAGCCAAGGAAAACAGAGAGGGCCGCAACUGCAGUCAAAAACAGGGGAAAAGGGAAAACCGAGCAACAAGAAAAGGAAAAGGGGCGGCAGACGGCCACUCCCUUUCCAAUAGCUCUUGAACAGACCAUUGCCACCACCAGUCUUCAUCCACCACCGCUGCUCGCCGCCAUCUCGCCGGAAUUCACCAUCGUCGCCUGCGGAUGCUCACCGAACGAAAGCACUGGUAAAUAAGUGACUUUACUUCAUUAGAGCCCCAACUCAAGGGAGGUACACUCUAUCCUUUAUUUUUGACUUUAUUUGACCUUAUGUGCCUUAUGUGACUUUAUGUGCUCAAUUGCAUGCCAUCUGAAUGCUUUCAUUUUAAUUUAUUUAUUCGCUUUAUUUGUUUUAAUUUAGUAUUUUUAUUUUAUUUUAGUUCAAUUUUUGAUCAUUUGAAAGGCACUUGAAUGCCACAAUUGUAAUAGUUAGGCUAUUAUAUCAUUUCAUUUAAUUCCUUCCCUCUUAGAUUGUAGUAGGCUUCCCCCCCGAAUGUAAUAGUUAGGGCUUUAUUUGUUUUGCUUGUCUUAUGUGUGUUGCAUGCCUAUGUGCUAUGUGUUACCGCUUUCUUAGGACGUGCAUCUAGAUAUCAUGCCUAUGUGUUAUAUGUGUUAUAUGAUUUAUGUGCUUAUUUGUUUUAUUAUGCUUUAUCUGAUUUUCUUAGACCGUAAUAAAUGCAUGUUAUCACACUAGUCCAAUGCUAGCUGUGAUUCCUUUCCCGUCACCACACUAGUUCAACGCUAGUUGUGGCUCUUUGUUCUGAUUUCCCACUAGUCCAAUGCUAGUGAGGAUUCAUAGACAUGGGCUAGUCCAAUGUUAGACCCUUAGGGACCUUUCUCGUUAGAUCAUGUUUGUAUGAUUACACUUCAUGCAUAUUUUUCUCAAUUUUAGGAUCUUUUUCACAUAAUAUUUCCUCUAAUAAAAUAUCCCUUACCCCUAUGUAUACAUAACAUUUAGAUUUGCAUCUCAUUUAGGAAAUUAGGGGGUAGAUUAGUGCAUUUUGCCUGAUUAGACUAGGGAUAACCCCUUGAAUAUGGGAUAUGGACGAGUUUGGCUUUUCUAGUCUUAGCACGCUCGUAUUCCCUCUAUCAAAGGGAAAAUUGGGUCACGAGUAUUAGUUUUCCCCGUACCCGAUAUGAUGCAUUCCUUUAAGACAUGUAUAUUUCUAUAAUUAUUUUUAUUCUUUUCCUUUUCUUUGAGUCUCAUAUUUGUGCAUCAUUCGUGACCUCUCCAAAAAGUCAUUAUUGGGCGUCACAACUAAUGUGAUUGGCACCACUCAAGCUUUGAAGAGAAAUUUUACCCCCGAUGCCCCCCUAGGUCUAGGAUUUGCAUUCAUAUAGUACAUUCAAAUGUAAUAAAUUUUUUGGUUAAAAACAAGAAAAUCUUUGACUAAAUCGCGCAACUAGCCUUGGCUAGGUCGAAGGGGUGCUUUGGAUUUUUAUCCUUGCCUUCCCCUUCGUCAAAUGUGACUCCCGAACCUUUUUCGUUGGUUUACGUAGACUAGGAGUCGUUUAAAAGGGGUUUUUCUUACUUCAUUUUUCUUUAAAAAUUCAUUUUAGGUGACUUGGUACACCUUAACUCUAUACCAAGUGGCGACUCCGAUUUUUAUUCAAAAACCCUUUUUAAACUAUAUUUUGGGUCAAAUCGUCGCAUUUUCAAGUCCCAUUUAGACCCGUACUUUGUAUUCAUUUUUUUUCAAAUAAAAAAUUCACUAUUUAUUCAUUUUAUUUUUCAAAAAAUGGGGCGCGACAGCUGUCUUGGAGUGCAAGGUACAGGUUACCACUGGAAUCUCUAACUUGUAUGUUAACAUUGUAUUUGUUAAGAAGAAAUUGUGAUAUACAAUAAAAAAUGCAAUUAAAAUUAAAGAUAUAUAAAAAUAAUUACCUAACAAUAGUGUCGACUACGUCAUUACAAUGGAUACACACCAUUUUUGAAGAAUGAAAUUGACAUGGUUGUCCACAAUUUUUACAUAACUUAUGGAACAUAUUGUCUAUAUUAAUGCUUUGAAUUUAAGCAAGUAUCAGAAAAUAUUUAACUUAAAACAAUUCAAAAAAUGUAUAGAUUACAAUUAUUAAUUCAAAAUAAUAUGUAGAUAAUUGUUCAUUAAUUAAUUAAUUGAGAGAAUUUUUAGCAUAGGUGUGACUACAAAUGUUUCCUCCUUUGUAAUCUGACGAGUUUGAAAUUUAGGCGCUGUUGAAAUAUUUGUAGGUAGGCAUGGUUCAUGGUGAAAUUAAGUUGAGAGCUAAGAUUGAUACUAGAAAGAAAUUGAAAGAGAUUGAUACCAAAAAGAAGUUGAAAGAGAUGGUAAAUUACGAUUUUUUGUAAAAUUAUGUGGUUAUCUCGUAUUAAUGGGGUUGGAGGAGUUUUAAAUGGAAUUGCUAAUUGGAGGAGUAUUAAUUGAAGUGGGAAGGUGUGUGAAGGGAGAAGUGUUAGUUGGAGUAAAAUUCUUAUUUGAUGGAAAUGUGAUAGUGUGUUUCAAACGUGGACAUAAUGUAUUUUAGGAAAUAAAUUAAAUGUAAAAUACAAGAAAAAUGGAAUUGAUAGUGGGAAGGUUUGUGGAAGUUUGUUGCUAAAAAAUCCUCCUCAAAUUUAUAUAGAUAUAGAUGAUUAGUUGAGUUAAUAAGCAAUAUGAUUGGUUCACUUCAUAAUAAACAUAGAAGAGUCAUCUAUAAGGACUAGUGUGCAGCUAUGUAUGGUAUUUGUUCAUUGGCCUAUCUGCGAAUGAUAUUCAAUAGGCACUCGUUAAGAUGUACUUCAAGUGUUAAAAUAUUAAAAAAAUAAAAUUAAUUAGAAAAAAGUAAAUAAAUGGAAAAGAGGUUAAUAAUUAUUAGUGUAUACAUAAACAUGGUAGGUUGAAUGUGAUUUAGAUGUGUUAAGAGUAUUUAUUGAACACCGUUAGAAAAACCCUUUGAUCUUUCUUGUGACUGAUUGUUAGGGUGGUUGUCUAAAUUUAACCUUUGGUGAAAACUAUCACCUAUUAAACUCAAAAUCUAUAUGACGAUUAUUAAGAAAUAAAUUAACAAGGAAAAAUUGCAGAAGCGUACUUUGAUCCAUGUUGACAAACUUGAUACUUGAAUCCCUAGAGAUUUUGGGGUGGCUUUCCAGGCAAUAUUUUUUGACCGGUCGAACUGCGAACCGGCCAUGGACACCGUUCGGUUCAUAUCUUAGUUUGACCUAUCUCAAGAACUGGUCAAACUCGGAAAAAACCGUUAAAACCGUUAAAAUCGUGAACCACAGUUUUUUAUUUUUAAAACAUUUAACUUCCUAUUUCGGUUAGCCACCAAGUAGUAGUACCAAUAAGGCAAUAACCAAUGGCUCUAACCCUAAGGCAUAAACUAAAGAGUUUUCUCUCCAAUUUGCAAAUACGCCGCCUGGCUCUCUCUGUUUCCUUGUCUUGGUCAACUAUCAAGACAAAAGCCAAUUUCAAUUCUCUUCUUCAAUCUCCAAGAACUCCAAUUUUAUUUUGUUUUCAUUUCAAAAGUUGAUGCACCAAUUGUUCUUGCAUUGAAGUGCACAGCUUAGUUAGCCUCUAAAAUUUCAAGCCAUUACCAAUUUACCAGGUUAGUUUACCUUUUCUUUGUUUUUUUUGUUGCUCUUAGUUGGUUACUUGAUGUGCAUAUGCUUUUUAUGGUUCGUAUUUUUCCUAUUUAACUUAGAAUUAUGGGUUAAAUUAAAUAUUUUGAGUUGAUUUUAAAAUAUAUCAAUUGUUGUUAUAUAAACUUUAAAGAAAAAAAUUCAAUUUUUACUCUAUUUCUUGUGAAAUUUCAACAAUUGAUGAUGUCUUUGUUGGGUCUCUAGCCAGAAGCAUUACAUUUAUUUAGUGAAAUGUGGGUGUCUGAAGUUAGCUUGCCAGUUGUUUGAUGAAUUGCUUGAGAGGGAAGCGUUUUGAUUUUAUUAAUUGUAGCAUUUUGAUUUUUAUUUGGUGGACGCUACUUGCUACUUGGAUAAUAUGGCAUUAAUUGACAGGGUCCUGAACCAGAAUGGCACUCUGGCUCAAAAUUUUUUUUUUUUUUUUUUUAUCAUUUGGGUGGCCUGAGUUUCAAAGGUGGCAGGACCAUAAUCUUUGGUCUGUCUAGCUAAAAAGCACAGCUUUUGACCAAAGCAAGUUUCAUAUCCCCAUAUUCUCCAUUCCGUAAUUGAAAAUGUCAACCAACUCGUUGCAGACUUGGUAUACCAAUUGAUUAUGACCACGUAGAAGAUAUGUACGCUUAAAUUACGAAGAGCUGAAAUUAUGAUGAGUUAGAUGAAGAACUUGAAGAAAUUCCAGUUCAUGAUCAAGGUUCAAAUUCUCAACCAUUUGAAGAUAACGAAGAUGAAGGGGAAGAUGUUGAUUUAGAAGCAUUUCAACGUAGAAACUUUUUUAAUGAUGAUGAAGAUGAUGAUUAGCAUUAAAGAUUCAAAUGUGGAUCAUAUAUGCUCUUGGACGAUGAUGAAGACUUGUCAAGAUGGCUUUUUUUAAAUACUUGUUGUCCAAGAAUGAUGAAAAAGAUGAUAAAAGCCUCAGAAAUUAGAUUUGCUUGGAUUUUUCAAUUGUUUUCUAGAAUUAAAUGAGUUUUUAUAUUGUUCUUUGUUAUUUCUAAUAUUUAGACUAUUGGACAUGGGAUAAUAUUGCUCUUAUGUUGGUUGUGAUUUUAGCAUCUAUAGUUCUAUUGGACUUUAUUUAAUUUCAGAAGUUUCAAUGA